UUCAUUUUGUGUUGGCUACCGACUGCUGGACACGGGACCUGCUCUUUAGAGUGGUUUGUAUCCCUGGGGAGACUCUGUUGGAGAGAACUAAUUUUUCAUUUUGAUAGUGGUUAUCAGCUGGAGAUCAUUUCUGAGUAAGGGUUGGGCAGGACCAAGCGUUCACUUCCUCUGCCGGUGCCGGAAGCCCACCUGCCACAGACCACGCAGAUCCAGUGCGUGCUGCCACAGUGUCUGUCUUGAUGGCCCAUCUUCAGCUUGUUCUCAGCUGUGAUUUAGACCGCGGGUGCCAGAGGGUGCCUUGUCUGUCUUGACACACUGAGCAUGCGUGGUGCCCUCCGCUGCCUCCCGCUCGUUCACCGUUUAAUCCACCCAUUGUGGCUCCUGACUCAGAGCUGUGCUGCUUCUCAAAGGGAGAACUGGGUCGGGGCAAAGAGCGCUCCUGUACCCCGUCGCAGCCUAGAUUUCUUUCCAAAAUGGGCCUCAGUGUGCUGGUCUAAUAGGUCAGAAGUCAAAUCAUGUCUAUGAUUCUGGGAGAAGCUGAAUGAACAUCUCCUCUUAAUGUCUGCCUAUGUUUCUCCCACCAU